UACGUAGGUGGCAAGCGUUGUCCGGAUUUACUGGGCGUAAAGAGCGCGCAGGCGGUCGUUCAAGUCGCGUGUGAAAGCCCCCGGCUCAACUGGGGAGGGUCACGCGAUACUGAUCGACUGGAAGGCAGGAGAGGGUAGUGGAAUUCCCGGUGUAGUGGUGAAAUGCGUAGAUAUCGGGAGGAACACCAGUGGCGAAGGCGACUACCUGGCCUGUUCUUGACGCUGAGGCGCGAAAGCUAGGGGAGCAAACAGGG
rnacentral:rRNA from 1 species